rnacentral:rRNA from 1 species
UACGGAGGGGGCGAGCGUUAUUCGGAAUUAUUGGGCGUAAAGAGCUCGUAGGCGGUUCGAUAAGUCGGACGUGAAAUCUCCACGCUCAACGUGGAGGGGCCGUUCGAUACUGUCGUGACUCGAGUCCGGUAGGGGAGUGUGGAAUUCCCGGUGUAGCGGUGAAAUGCGCAGAGAUCGGGAGGAACACCCGUAGCGAAGGCGGCACUCUGGGCCGGUACUGACGCUGAGGAGCGAAAGCGUGGGGAGCAAACAGG